rnacentral:rRNA from 1 species
GAUGAACGCUAGCGGCAGGCUUAAUACAUGCAAGUCGUGGGGCAGCAUGAGUAGCAAUACUUGAUGGCGACCGGCAAACGGGUGCGGAACACGUACACAACCUUCCGAUAAGUGGGGAAUAGCCCAGAGAAAUUUGGAUUAAUACCCCGUAACAUAUAGAGUAGGCAUCUUCUUUAUAUUAUAGCUUCGGCGCUUAUUGAUGGGUGUGCGUCUGAUUAGGUAGUUGGCGGGGUAACGGCCCACCAAGCCUACGAUCAGUAGCUGAUGUGAGAGCAUGAUCAGCCACACGGGCACUGAGACACGGGCCCGACUCCUACGGGAGGCAGCAGUAAGGAAUAUUGGACAAUGGGCGAAAGCCUGAUCCAGCCAUGCCGCGUGAAGGAUUAAGGUCCUCUGGAUUGUAAACUUCUUUUAUUUGGGACGAAAAAAGGGAAUUCUUUCCACUUGACGGUACCAAGUGAAUAAGCACCGGCUAACUCCGUGCCAGCCGCCGCGGUAA